UAGGGAAUCUUGGACAAUGGGCGCAAGCCUGAUCCAGCCAUGCCGCGUGAGUGAAGAAGGCCUUAGGGUCGUAAAGCUCUUUCGCCUGUGAUGAUAAUGACAGUAGCAGGUAAAGAAACCCCGGCUAACUCCGUGCCAGCAGCCGCGGUAAUACGGAGGGGGUUAGCGUUGUUCGGAAUUACUGGGCGUAAAGCGCGCGUAGGCGGAUUGGAAAGUUAGAGGUGAAAUCCCGGGGCUCAACCCCGGAACGGCCUUUAAAACUCCCAGUCUAGAGUUCGAGAGAGGUGAGUGGAAUUCCAAGUGUAGAGGUGAAAUUCGUAGAUAUUUGGAGGAACACCAGUGGCGAAGGCGGCUCACUGGCUCGAUACUGACGCUGAGGUGCGAAAGUGUGGGGAGCAAACAGGAUUAGAUACCCUGGUAGUCCACACCGUAAACGAUGAAUGCCAGUCGUCGGAUAGUAUACUAUUCGGUGACACACCUAACGGAUUAAGCAUCCGCCU
rnacentral:rRNA from 1 species